CGAGAGUUACGCGAGCGACCACAUAAGCGAGUGGCCGCGAGCGCGGACAUAAGCGAGUGUCCACGAAAGAGAUGGCCGCGAGCCAUUGGCCGCGAAAAGAAUUAGUUCGCAAAGGAGGCCAACAGUGACAUUCAGCGAACGGUCGCGGGGCAAGGAGUUCUCAAACGCUCGCAAGGGACAUUUCGCUAACGCCCGACUACGCGAAGCUCACUUCGCCAAGAUCGAGGAAGCGGCGCUCGCUGAGUUUGGCCAAGUGCACUCAGGCUCAGUGCAGUCUCGUCAGCAAGACCAGAUCUAACGAAGAGCUGCGCCAGAACUUCUUCCACCACGAGGCACGCUC
rnacentral:lncRNA from 1 species